AGUGUCCAUUUAGCAAGGAGGAACGACUGUAAAACAUAUAUCCAACUCUCACAGCUCAUCCAGAAGGAUAACGUAAUUAAUGCUACAAAAUGCCACUUAAGAAGACAAUAAGGAUGGGACACUCUCUCUAUCCAUGUUAUGAGAU